CCUGCCCCUGCCUGGGACGCGCGGUCAGGGGUUCAGCCCCGCACCCUGCCCGCCCUGCGCCGGGACCUAGCUGUCUGAGCCCCGCGUGUUCCCAGGGAUGGGGGCCAGGGCGCAGAAGCCGCGCUGCGUUUUGAGUCCACGCGGCCCCCAAUCCUGGGGCCUCUGGCAGGGCAGGGUCCCCUGGGGAAGGUCACCUCCUCCCAUCCCGGACACCCUAGAUCCCGGGACAUGCGCCCAGGUCCCCUGCCUUACAGGGUUCCCCGGGGGCGGAGGCCGAGUGUCCUAGCUGCUUUAGAGACCACUGUCCCCUACCGUCCCAGAUUCUACUCCCUGGCGAAGCGAAAAGGGGCAGCACCGCCGGCCAUAACCCUCAGGUCUACCUACGAGGCGGUGCCCUGUACCCACGUCCCUCAGAGUGGCACCCACAGAUGUCCUGUUCUACGCUUGGCUUGGUUUUCCAACGAGGAACUCAGACUGGGCAGCUCCGCACUUAAGCUCCGAGCUGAUAUCCCCUCAAAAUAAUCGUGAACCCCAAGGAGAAAAUUGGAUUUUUAAAAAAUCUAAACCCUCUAAAAAUCUAAACCCUGCCCUCGAAGUGGGGAUUAAAUGGCUCCUGAGCUUUGUGACACCCCCCCAAAAUCCGCCUAUGUUAGUCUGAGUAGAGUUUGGGAUCAACCUUGGUUUUCUGUGACAUGCAAGGUGGGUGGGCAUUGGGCAGGAGAGGGGUGUGGGUGCUGGGUGUCACCUGAAUUCUCUGUCCUGGAGAACUUCGGGGGAGCUGCAGUCCAGAGGGGCCUGAAAAGUCAACGCCAACUCCCACAUUCCAAAACAAAGAUCAGAAGGGAGCAAAGUGCCUGGUGCCCUCCAGCCCGCCCUCCACCAGGGCUGUGACAGCCCUAUCAGGUCCUGGCCCGAGCAUCCUCGGUCCCCCGCUCAGGCUGAGGAGGAGAAAGACAGGUUCCCUUAGAGGUGUGUGUCCCUGCGGUAGUGGGAGGGACCUUUUCCAAAAGCAGCCGGGGGCAAAAAUGGCUGAGCCCUGGAGCCUCAGGAAGAAAUUGUCAGGCUGGCGGCAGACAAAGAAAGCACUCUGUCUCCAGCCAAGUGGUAACUCGGUGGCCGGUCCUCAGAGGACAAACUCUUGGCCCGGGGCUUGCAGGGACCUAGCCGGAGCUGACCUGUGGCAGACCAUCAGGGUGACCUUCAACCGCAAAGCUGCUGUCCACGUGGACUGGGGCUCAGAUCGUGCGCCCAUCCGCCAGGACCCCCACAUCCAAACUCCGAGACAUGGCGACCAAUGGCAGCAAGGUGGCGCCGGGGGCAGAUCUCCACAGAAGUCAGUGAGGACCCCCUUGGCCAAGCGACAAGCCCAAAACCCUGGUGGUCAAGGUGCAGAAGAAGGCCGGGGACCUUCCCGAUCGAGAUACAUGGAAGGGCCGCUUCGACUUCCUCAUGUCCUGUGUGGGCCUACGCCAUUGGCCUGGGCAAUGUCCGGGAGGUUCCCCUACCUCUGUGGGAAGAAUGGCGGGGGGGCCUUCCUGAUCCCCUACUUCCUGGCGCUCAUCUUUGCGGGGUCCCGCUCUUUCAUGCUGGAGUGCUCCCCUGGGCCAGUACACGUCCAUCGGGGGGCUUGGGUGUGUGGAAGCUGGCCCCCCCAUGUUCAAGG
rnacentral:lncRNA from 1 species